GCUGAAUGAAAUACUGAUAUAUGCUGAUAUACAACAUGGAUGAACUUUCAAAACGUUAUGCUGAUGAAAGAAGCUAGUCACAAAAGACCAUAUAUUGUGUGCAUUCAUAAAGAAGCACAGGAUAGGCAAUCUGUAGAGAUGGAAAGUAGAUUAGUGGUUGCCUAGAGCCAGGGGAGUGGAGAAUGGAAUAUGAGGGUAAUAGUUCAAGGACAUGGAAGUUUUUAUAUUUUUGAGGUGAUGAAAAUAUUCUAAAAUUGAAUCUAGUGAUGGUUACACAUAUCUGUGAAUGUCAUAAAAACCAUUGAAUUGUACACUUUAGUGAAUUGUAUGGUAAAUGAACUAUAUCUUAAUAAAGUUGUUUAAAAAACUUUAAAAAUAAAAUGAGGAUAAUAAUACAGAUUGAUGAUUAAAUUAAUGCAUAACAUUUUAUAAACUAAUUUUACUUUUUAUGUGAAUAGGAAGUAUUAAAAGAUAUGAAAAAUGUGGGAGAGUAUGAUAAUUGAAAGAAGAGGAGUUCAUGGUCAAAGGGAGAGAUUAAAGAUGUGCAACUUCAGUAGAGACGGAGUUUUACCAUGUCGAUCAGGGUGGUCUCAAACUCAUGACCUCAAAUGAUCCAACCGCCUUGACCUCCCAAAAUGCUGGGAUUACAGAAACAAUAUUGUAGAAAAAUGUUUGAGAUGACAUCCGGGAAAGGACAAAUUAAAAAGAGGUGAGUUCACCUGUAAUCCCAGGACUUUGGAAGGCCGAGGUGGGUGGGUAGAUCACGUGAGACCAGGAGGUUAUGACCAGCCUGGCACUGUGAAACCUCGUCUCUACUAAAAAUGAAAAAAUUAGCUGGGCAUGGUGGCACACACUGGUAAUCCCUGGCACCUGGAAGGCCGAGGCACAAGAAUCACUUGAAUCUGGGAGGUGGAGGUUGCUACUGCACUUCAGCUUUGGUGACAGAGAGAAAAAAAAAAACACAAAAAAGUGAUCAUAGUAUUUGAAGCUAUAUUGUUUUUCUGCAGGCAUUUGCCAGUUUGAAAGAGACAAUGAAGAGGGUAACCAGAACUUAUGCAAUUUUUUUGAGGUGUAACUGGAACAAAAGUUUGGAGUCGAGAAUAUGCCAAAGUUUGGGAAUUUAAUGAAUGUCUUCACAGUUAGGGUAGCAAUCUCAAGUGGACAUACUCUGAGUGUUAUGGAAGCCUUAAGUAAAUCAGCCCAUUCAUAGAUGAGUAUGGUGUAAUGUAAGUGGCCCAGAAAAUGUCAAGCCAUAAAAUUUGAAUUAAGGUAAUCUUGGAUAGUUAGACCCUCCAGGUACUUGGCAGAAACAGACAAAGUUCCACAUUAGAGGAAGGUAGCAUUACCUGAGGUCUCAGAUUAUUUUUACAAUAAUUCUUAAAAUGCCAUGUUCAGGAUGUAGUCAAAGAUAAUAAAAUACCUGAGGAGGAAAGACA
rnacentral:lncRNA from 13 species